GGAGGGAAUCUUGCGCAAUGGGCGAAAGCCUGACGCAGCGACGCCGCGUGGGGGAUGAAUGCCUUAGGGUUGUAAACCCCUUUCACGAGGGAAGAAACUGACGGUACCUCGAGAAGAAGCCCCGGCCAACUACGUGCCAGCAGCCGCGGUAAUACGUAGGGGGCGAGCGUUGUCCGGAUUUAUUGGGCGUAAAGGGCUCGUAGGCGGCUUGGCAAGUCGGCCGUGAAAACCCAGGGCUCAACCCUGGGACGCCGGUCGAUACUGCCAUGGCUAGGGUCCGGUAGAGGGGAAUGGAAUUCCCGGUGUAGCGGUGAAAUGCGCAGAUAUCGGGAGGAACACCAGUAGCGAAGGCGGUUCCCUGGGCCGGCACCGACGCUGAGGAGCGAAAGCGUGGGGAGCAAACAGGAUUAGAUACCCUAGUAGUCC
rnacentral:rRNA from 1 species